ACAAACAGUUUGUAAUUCUCCACAACAGCAACAACUUCAUACAUUUCUUGCAUAGAAUACCUGGAAACAGAAAUAGGGACGUUACAGUUACAAGAAAGAAGAGAAUCUUGAGAACUACAAUAUAAUGUACGAGCAAACAUUGUCAUGGAUUUGGGACAGAAUGAAACAGAGUUUUCACACCUCUUGGUUUAUUCACAUUUUACCAGAUGAAAUUAUUCGUUUAAUACUCCCUUUCAAGUGGUGCAGCAAUGUUGAAGAAAUUCCUUGAAAAAGUCUGGCUCGUUACAGGUACUUGCAAAGGAGAAGUUCUGGUCAUCAGAACACCACAAGAAGCCAAGUGCCUGAAACAGUGAAAAUGCUUUUAGAUGGGUUUCAUAUCAGCAAAAGAAGUAACAGCACAUUCAAGUGGGACAAAUAACCUGUUGUAUAACAUUCCAGAAAAUGUCUGUCCGAUGGAAAAGCAAAGGCUCAUAACAGUGCACAAACUGUCAAACAUUUCCUUAAGAGAAACUAAAAAUAGCCCACAGUCAGGACAAAAAUGACUGCAGAGUGAAACACAAAGGCCCUCAUUAAACACUUGACCACAUGGCAGCCUGAGUUCAUGUACAGGUCUCAGAUGCACUUAAUUUGCAGAACAGGUUUUCCUAAUAGCAAAAUCAAGGUUUGCAAUACUUAUCUCUUUUGGAAUACAAAAAGUAGAGAAGAUUUCACUUGGAGAUACAAAGCUGAACUCUGGCGCCAUCCUUCUCUUAAAAGGACAGUUUAAUUUUGAAAGUCCAUUCAGAAGGUGCAUUGUUACCCAGCUUUCCAAAUUUCCUUCAGAAAAUAGAAUCAAAACCUUGGACACAGUGUUUUCAUAAAUAAAACUUAAUUACCCGUAAAGGGACUAAUAACCUUAAGAUUGCACCUCAGUGUUCUCUGUUUGUGAACAUCUACACUAAAAUCUAAAAAACAUUCAUUGUGAUUAACAGUUCUGUUCUGCUAAAUUACUGAUUUUGCUGAGAACAAGUAGAUCAAAAUGCAACAUGCUGCCUCA